rnacentral:rRNA from 1 species
UACAGAGGCCUCGAGCGUUAGGCGGAAUCACUGGGCUUAAAGCGUGUGUAGGCGGAUCGUUAAGUGCCUUGUGAAAUCCCACGGCUUAACUGUGGAACGGCUGGGCAUACUGGCGGUCUUGAGCCAUCUAGGGGCGACUGGAACAAACGGUGGAGCGGUGAAAUGCGUAGAUAUCGUUUGGAACGCCAAUGGUGAAAACAGGUCGCUGGGGAUGCGCUGACGCUGAGACACGAAAGCCAGGGGAGCGAACGGG